CCGGCUGUGUGUACGUACGUUUGACGGAGGACAGCAUAGAGACACUAGAUCUCUCACUAUGGAUGAUACAUCACAAUUAAGAGCAAAGCAAAGACAUAUGUAGACACUUGGCUAGGAAUUCAAAAAAGAAGUCAGUUCCCGUUUUAUCAUUAUUGGAAUCGAUUGGAAUGGCUCUUAGCUGAAGCUUCUCUCUUCUCUGAAGCUUAUUCUGAAGACUGAACAACAAGGGAAGAGGUAUAAAGCUUUGUCAAGCUUGUUAAGGUCAGAUAUUUUUGUGUGGGCCCUAUGGCCGGCUAUGCUAUCAAGUCUUGUUCAUGUUUGGCAAGAAUGUAGGUAGACUAUAGUUUCAUUAUUAAUAUGGUGGAUCAAGUGAAGAGUGUGAGCUAGAGAACUUGGUGCUGCCAUCAUCAGCUCGUCGACAAUGACACUAUAACCGAGAAAUUUAAUAUGUAUAGAUCUACACGUAUUUAAAAUGUCUACUUCUCUGUACAGGAGCAAUGGCUAAUAUCCAGCUAUCCCAACAGUGCUCCUCUUGGCUAUACUAACGGACGAGACUGGACAGUUUGAGACACAGGACUGGAGUAUGACCUGCUCAUUCGAGCGUUGCUGGGUAGCUCAGAGACAUCAAGAGAAUCUACGUUUUCUCAAGCAAUGAGUUACGAGUUGGGGCCUAGAAUCAGAGAAGUCCAGCAGCCUGCUAAAUCUUUUUGAAACGUAAUUUGAAGGCAUUCAAUCAUCCUGAAGUUGCCCUGGGUCACUGUAAUUGUGCUGCAGCACAACUGGCAACUCCCCAGGCCUUUGUGAAGCAGCUCCCUAUGUGCAUCUUUUGUGUACUCACUCUGUGCAUUUUCUGUGUACAAAUUUCGAUUAUUGAUUUAUUAAAUAUUUUUGCCGACCACAAA